rnacentral:rRNA from 1 species
UACGUAGGUGGCAAGCGUUGUCCGGAAUUAUUGGGCGUAAAGCGCGCGCAGGCGGUCCUUUAAGUCUGAUGUGAAAGCCCACGGCUCAACCGUGGAGGGUCAUUGGAAACUGGGGGACUUGAGUGCAGAAGAGGAAAGCGGAAUUCCACGUGUAGCGGUGAAAUUCGUAGAUAUCGGGAGGAACACCGGUGGCGAAGGCGGCGAUCUGGGUCGAUACUGACGCUGAGGUGCGAAAGCGUGGGGAGCAAACAGG